rnacentral:lncRNA from 1 species
UGUGGGCACGGCGUCACCCGGGGGACACGUGUCACCCACAUCCCCCUGUCCCCGAGGGUCCCCGUGUCACCCCUGGUCCCGGUGUCCCCAACAGUCUCAGUGUCACCCAAGGUCCCCGUGUCACCCCUGGUCCUGGUGUCCCCAAGGGUCCCGGUGUCCCCAAGGGUCUCAGUGUCACCCAAGGUCCCCGUGUCACCCCUGGUCCUGGUGUCCCCAAGGGUCCCGGUGUCCCCAAGGGUCUCAGUGUCACCCCUGGUCCCGGUGUCCCCAAAGGUCUCUGUGUCCCCGGGGUCCUCAGUGUCACCUCCAGUCCCAGUGUCACCGAGGCUCCCCGUGGUCCCGGUGUCCCCCAAGGGUCUCGGUGUCCCCAAGGUCCUCAGUGUCACCUGGGGGCUCAGUGUCCCCAAAAGUCCCCCUGUCCCCAACCAUCUCAGUGGCCCCGAGGGUCCCGGUGUCCCCCGUGGUCUCGGUGUCCCCAAGGGUCUCGGUGUCACCCCUGGUCCCAGUGUCCCUGAGGGUCCCCGUGUCCCCAACAGUCUCAGUGUCACCCAAGGUCCCCGUGUCACCCAAGGUCCCCGUGUCACCCGUGGUCCUGGUGUCCCCCAACCAAGGGUCUUGGUGUCCCCAAAAGUCCCCCUGUCCCCAGCCAUCUCAGUGGCCCCGAGGGUCUCGGUGUCACCCGGGGUCCCCAUGUCACCUGUGGUCCCGGUGUCCCCGAGGGUCUCGGUGUCACCCGUGGUCUUGGUGUCCCCAAGGGUCCCGGUGUCGCCCGUGGUCUUGGUGUCCCCAAGGGUCUUGGUGUCACCCGUGGUCCCGGUGUCCCCAAGGGUCUUGGUGUCACCUGUGGUCCCAGUGUCGCCUGUGGUCUUGGUGUCCCCAAGGGUCUCGGUGUCACCCCUGGUCUUGGUGUCCCCAAGGGUCUCGGUGUCACCCAUGGUCUCGGUGUCCCCAAGGGUCUCGGUGUCCCCAAGGGUCUGGGUGUCCCCCGUGGUCCCGGUGUCCCCCGUGGUCCCGGUGUCCCCCGUGGUGGCGGUGUCCCCGGGGAGGUGACACUUGUGGCGCAGGAGGUGGCGGUAGCGGGUGGUGGCAGCGGCCACCGCCUCCUGCAGCUCGGCCACCUCCAGCGCCACCGUCACCCCUGGGGUCAGGGGUCACCGGGGGGUCAGAGGUCACGGGGA